rnacentral:rRNA from 1 species
UACGGGGGGGGCAAGCGUUGUUCGGAAUUACUGGGCGUAAAGGGCUCGUAGGCGGCCAACUAAGUCAGACGUGAAAUCCCUCAGCUUAACUGGGGAACUGCGUCUGAUACUGGAUGGCUUGAGUUCGGGAGAGGGAUGCGGAAUUCCAGGUGUAGCGGUGAAAUGCGCAGAUAUCAGGAGGAACACCGGUGGCGAAGGCGGGUCUCUGGGCCGAAAUUGACGCUGAGGAGCGAAAGCGUGGGGAGCAAACAGG